GCAUUGUUGGUUCAGUGGUGGAAUUUUCACCUGCCAUGCGGGAGGACCGGGUCAGAUUCCAGGCCAAUGCA
rnacentral:tRNA from 1 species